GCGGUGUUGGUGUAAUGGUAACAUUAGAGUUUGUGGAACUCUCGUCACGGGUUCAAUCCCCGUACACCGCC
rnacentral:tRNA from 1 species